rnacentral:tRNA from 1 species
GAGGGUAUAGCUCAAGCAGUAGAGCGCAUGAAUAUCAUGCAUGAGGCCCUGUGUUCAAUCCCCAGUACCUCCU